CUGGCGCGGUCACCGGCGCGGGCUACGGCUGCGACUUCCCUCAAGUUGGCGCUGGUUUCUGGGUUGCUGCAGCCGGUGCACAGCUGCUUCCUCCGCCCUCACCCCUUCCACCUCGCCGCAGUUCGAGAUGAAGUUGUUGUAAUUUCUGGAAGGAAACUGGCCCAGCAGUUCAAGCAGGAAGUGCGGCAGGAGGUAGAAGAGUGGGUGGCCUCAGGCAACAAAUGGCCACACCUGAGCGUGAUCCUGGUUGGCGAGAAUUCUGCAAGUCACUCCUACGUCCUCAACAAAACCAGGGCAGCUGCAGAUAUGGGAAUGAACAGUGAGACCAUUGUGAAACCAGCUUAAAUUUCAGAGGAAGAAUUGUUGAAUGUAAUCGGUAAACUGAAUAAUGAUGAUAAUGUAGAUGGUCUCCUUGUUCAGCUGCCUCUUCCAGAGCACAUUGAUGAGAGGAGGAUCUGCAAUGCUGUUUCUCUGGACAAGGAUGUUGAUGGCUUUCACGUAAUUAAUGUAGGGCGAAUGUGUUUGGACCAGUAUUCCACGUUACCGGCUACCCCGUGGGGUGUGUGGGAAAUAAUUAAGCGAACUGGCAUUCCAACUCUAGGGAAGAAUGUGGUUGUGGCUGGAAGGUCAAAAAAUGUUGGAAUGCCCUUUGUAAUGUUACUGCACACAGAUGGGGCGCAUGAACGUCCCGGAGGUGAUGCCACUGUUACAAUAUCUCAUCGAUAUACUCCCAAAGAGCAGUUAAAGAAACAUACAAUUUUUGCAGAUAUUGUAAUAUCUGCUGCAGGUAUUCCAAAUCUGAUCACAGCAGAUAUGAUCAAGGAAGGAGCAGCAGUCAUUGAUGUGGGAAUAAAUAGAGUUCACGAUCCUGUAACUGCCAAACCCAAGUUGGUUGGAGAUGUGGAUUUUGAAGGAGUCGGAGAAAAAGCCGGUUAUAUCACUCCAGUUCCUGGAUUUUACCCUGAGUCACAGAUGUUUGAAAAGAAAUUCCAGCCUGUUAUGUAA